rnacentral:rRNA from 1 species
AUGGACUUGUGCCUUGGCUUAAGGGUGGAUCCGAACAGCCGAUGUCUGACCAUUGGCUUAGGCAUACUCUAUAGUCGCAAUAGGUUAAUACAUGUCUCUGCUAAUUGUAUCCUAAAACAAUACCUAGUCCAGGUGGUUAAGGGAUCGCGAGGCGGGCGUGAUCGCUACGGGCUCGCCGUGAGUUGUGCGCAUUCGUGCGCGAGGUGGCCGCGAGCGGAGCGGGCCGAUCGGGGCGCCAACAAGGGUGGGAGCGCGUGGGUCGUGCCCAUCGCAGGCCCGAAGAUAAAAAAAAUUGCUGAAGAAAAGGGAGAGUCGUCCUCGUGGAGGUGGGGUGGCCUCGUUUUAGAACUUGCAGCGGUAGAAGCAACCAUAGAACUUGCAGCGAUCGGGGUAUACCACAAAGAAACGCUGACUAUUAUUCCAAAGGGAAACGUUGGUGGUUCAUCCAUGGAGGAAGAGCUUGAGGAGCAUAGUUGGCUGGGGGAAAGGGGAGAGUCCUCCUCGUGGGUGGGUCGGCCUCGGAAUCGGAGGCUUUGUCCGGGAAGAGUUGAAGCCCAGCCCAGCCCAGCCCAGGUGGGAGAAGAAAAGAUGGCGGCGGAGGAGAGGACGUUCCUACUCGAGACCCCGGACGGCAUGAGUUUCGUGGUCUCGGAGCGGGAGGCGAGACAAUCCGGGGAAAUUCAUUGCGACACCAUCUGCUACGACGGCCAGCCCAUCGACGUCAACGUCGAAGGCAACACACUCGCCAAGGCCUUGCACUACUGCAAGAAGCACGCCUACUCAGACGACCAUGACCUCCGCGCCUGGGACGCCAAGUUCGUCGCCGACCUAGAUCUCGAGACACUAUACGAUCUCACCCUGGCUUCCCACAAACUUGAAAUCCAAGGCCUGCUUGCACUCACCUGUCAGACUCUCGCCAAUAAGAUCAAGGGCAAGUCGCCCCAUGAGACCUGUCAUGUACUAAACAUCAGGGGUGUCUUCACUCCGGAAUUACAUCAAGAGCAUUCAAGUGAAUCUUGCGCUAGCCACACGGUUUUAGCCGCUAUGAAAAUCAACGCAAAUUGGUGGCACCUAGAGCGAAAAUUGGUAGAUAAGGCGUUACGGGCUCUCGACAUAGUUCGUCGCCAAGACUUCACCGGAUACGAGCCCAAGAUCGAUGGUUUAGUACGUCAUCGAUUCAGCGACUUCAACCUUGCCUUCUUCGACUUAGAUAAAGAGACUAGCUUUUCCCGUGGCCCACCGCUUAAUAACAAAACACCAACGAAUGUUGGCUUUCCGGUUGACAUAUUUGGCACUGUUGUUGCAAGGGACACAGAGGACUACCGAUGUGUCUAUCUGUUUCGGCGUGAAAGGGACGACCCCCAACACAUCAGCUCGCCGGAUGAUAUGUUAUCUUUGACAGAUCCGUGUCGAGGGCUUGUCUCGGAAAACAGGGUUUAUUUUGAGAUUGAUUUAAAGAUCAAGCAUGAUGGUUGUGCGGACAAAGACUUUAGCAAAGGCAUACUAGAAUUCGAACAGGCCCGUCUUCGUGAAGGCAAGGGGCCGUGCAACAUCUCAAGAGUAGCUGCUUCGACACCUGGCAACUUCAAGGAUCAUAUCAUUCUAUACGAAGCAGCAGGAGGGCCGACCAUAAUCGGUGAUGGCGGCUCUGUUCCGUUGAGUCGUCGUGUGGUCGCCGUCACACGGGAGAAGAAGCUGGCGCUAUUUCUUGUGGGUGGUGAUGCACUUGAAUACCUUGCCCUCACUCUAGGUCAUUCUGAUGAAGUGGUCAAUCGGAGGAUGGGCUGUGCCCAAGUGGAGGUGAAAGUUGCGUGGACAGCUGUCCCGGCAAGGAAGAGACCUAAUAUGUUUAAGGCGGUGGCAAACCAGCUGUUAUUGAUGUGA